CAAAACGCGGAAGCAACGUGGAUUUUACGUGCCUACGUUUAUGUCAAACACAUCGUGAUUGGCUCAUGAAGGAGCAGAUACGUGAAACACGCUGCACAUAGCCAUAUGGAGAAAGUAGGUGAGUGUUGAUCAUUUGUUUGGUACCUAUUCCCCCAAGAGGGGUGCCAGUGUCCUGAUGCUGACCAGUGCCACCGGUUCCGCCACUUGGUUCCUGCUGGAGCCUUAGCACCAACUGGAUGAGGGGACUCCUCUCUGUGUUGAAUUCCCGGCUGUCUAAGGCUUUGAAGUGGAGAGUGGUGUCAAACUACAAGACCGCCAGCAUGUAAACAAGGCCUUGUUUGUCCUUGUUUGGCUACUCACCACUCUUCUAAUUCCUGAAGAGGCUGAAGCAUGCUGGCCUUGACACCUCAGUCCUUGCUUCCAUUAACAGCUGUGUUAUGGUCUACUGCAACGGGUGGAUAAGGAGGGCAAAUGACAGGCAGUGUGCUGUGAGGACUGCUGCCCUGAUUCAUACGGAAGAACCAAGCCCGCAAGAUGGUGUUAUCAAGCACACAGAAGGGGGGAAUAUAGCUUAUUGUACCUUAAAU